rnacentral:rRNA from 1 species
AGACGUCUACAUUAGAUACCCCUGUAGUCCCAGCCGUAAACGAUGCGCGUUAGGUGUAUCGACGACCACGAGUCGUCGAGGUGCCGAAGGGAAACCGUGAAACGUGCCGCCUGGGAAGUACGGUCGCAAGGCUGAAACUUAAAGGAAUUGGCGGGGAGCACCACAACAGGUGGAGCCUGCGGUUUAAUUGGACUCAACGCCGGAAAUCUCACCGGAUAAGACAGCAGAAUGAUUGCCGGGCUGAAGACUCUGCAUGACUAUCUG